GAUACCACCAUACACUUAUUAUCCGCCUGGGUACUAUAAGCAUAAGCUCGAAACCCAAAGGACCUGGCGGUGCUUUAAAACCACCUAGAGGAGCCUGUUCUAGAACUGAUAAUCCCCACUCAACCUCACCCUUCCUUGCCAAUACCGCCUAUAUACCGCCGUCGUCAGCUUACCCUAUGAAGGCACAACAGUGAGCAAAAUCGGUACAACCUAAAACGUCAGGUCGAGGUGUAGUGAAUGGAAGGGGAAGAAAUGGGCUACAUUUGUUUAUUAACACACCACGAAUCACAUGUUGAAACACAUUUUUGAAGGAGGAUUUAGCAGUAAGGAGAAAAUAGAAUGUUC
rnacentral:rRNA from 1 species